UCUGCCAUCUCCUUGGCAAUUCCUCUGAUGUAAAAUGUGCAGAUCCUCCGUAGAUCUUUAUUUUAUUUUUUAGACAGGAUGUCACUGUCUAACACUGGCUGACCUGAAACUUGCGAUGUACAUCAAUCAGGCUGGCUUUGAACACACAGAGAUUCUCCUGCCUCUGUCUCCUGAACACUGGGAUUAAAUGCAGUGCCACCACGUCCAGCUUCCAGGUUUUGUUCUUCUUUGUUUGUUUGUAUAACAUAGGAUUGACUGGUACUCACUUCUGAGACAAAGUGGGGAGAUUUGAAAACACAGACACUAAAAUCAGUUAUGAUUUUAAAUGGUGAUUGAAUUAAUCUCUCUUCCUCUACAUUGCUGGGUCUUUAAGGGUUUGUUAUAGAGCAAAGUGGUGGAAACAUGAAGACAUAGGUAAGGCGCAUAAAUUAAUUUCAGAUAGCUCCUGUAUUCAAUGGGAAAUUGUAUAUUGCUUCUCUAAGAACACUGUAAGCAGCACAAUCACCGCUUCGCUAGACGCACACUUGGUAGAAAAUAGUCAAUACACUUAUUUAGCAUGCUGAGUAACGGGUUUUGAGGAAAUAAAAGACAAAGGAUAGUGUAGCAGCAGGCCGCUUGUUUGCCCCAGUCACCCAGAACCAAACUAAUCAUGCAGAAAUUGUAUUAAUUGAAUCAUUGCUUGGCCCAUUAGCUCUAGCUUCUUAUUGGCUAACACUUACAUCUUAAUUUAACCCAUUUCUAUUAAUCUGUGUGUCACCACGAGGUCAUGGCCUACCAGCAAAGUUUCAGCACACCUAUCUUUGGCAGUUCUUUAUUCAUUAACCAAUAAAAGCAACACACAGACAGAAGGACCUCCUUCUGAACCUCCUUCUGAGGACCUCCUUAGAAGAGGAAAAAUGGUCUUUUUGGCAAUGAGAAGAUAAGGACCAGUCAUUCAGAAGCUGGAAAGCAUUCCAAGAAAAGAGCAAUGGAAUCCAUUGAGUCAAGAAGAGACGGCUAGGAAGACGUCAAGGCUAGAGCAGAGUGGAAGAAGACGCAGUGGUAGAAGCCAUGGAGACACAAAGAAAUGGGUGCAUCAGGAAGCUAUUUACAGACUUUACUGGCAGGAGUCUGUGAUAACUGGACACGAGCAGAUCGAGGGGGAAGAAUGAGGCUGGAUCCUGGGAAGAUGCUCCUAUUAUGAUGCCAGCUUAGGACUUUUCAUGACAAUGAGACACUCUGCUCCUGGCAGCACCAAUCUACUUCAAGAGGAUGAUGGGCAUUGAAGAGGAUCCUCAUGGAGUUUGCUAGCUAUUUGGGCAAGAAACUGCUCUUGACUGCACUGCUUGGUGGUAUGCUGUAUGAACUGGAAAUGCAGGACCUGCAGAAAAAUGACUGCUGAACUUGCCUAAGUGUGGGAUGAUCCUACGGGAUUCCUGCUUCAUGAAAGAGUCUGCCAGACAUUCUGCAGGACACAGAAGAAAGUGAGUGACAAAUUGCCAAAAUAGGUGGAACUGUCUUUGAAAUUUCCUGCUUCAUGGAAAAAUCUGCUGGAUACCAUGGGUCCAUAGACUGAAGAUGGAUGCCCUAAUGGGACAGAAGAACUUUGCGUGACUAUCCAGGCAGCAAGAUGUCUCUGUCAUUUCUAGAGUUUUGGAAGUUGCUUACAAUGCACUUCCUGUUUACUUAAGCAAUAUUAUA